AUUGAACGCUGGCGGCAGGCUUAACACAUGCAAGUCGAGCGGGGUGAUGGUGCUUGCACUAUCACUUAGCGGCGGACGGGUGAGUAAUGCUUAGGAAUCUGCCUAUCAGUGGGGGACAACAUCUCGAAAGGGAUGCUAAUACCGCAUACGUCCUACGGGAGAAAGCAGGGGAUCACUUGUGACCUUGCGCUAAUAGAUGAGCCUAAGUCGGAUUAGCUAGUUGGUGGGGUAAAGGCCUACCAAGGCGACGAUCUGUAGCGGGUCUGAGAGGAUGAUCCGCCACACUGGGACUGAGACACGGCCCAGACUCCUACGGGAGGCAGCAGUGGGGAAUAUUGGACAAUGGGGGGAACCCUGAUCCAGCCAUGCCGCGUGUGUGAAGAAGGCCUUAUGGUUGUAAAGCACUUUAAGCGAGGAGGAGGCUCUUUUGGUUAAUACCCAAGAUGAGUGGACGUUACUCGCAGAAUAAGCACCGGCUAACUCUGUGCCAGCAGCCGCGGUAA
rnacentral:rRNA from 1 species